AGCGGCAACAGCUCAAAUUUGAAAGCUGGCCUUCGGGUCCGCAUUGUAAUUUGUAGAGGAUGCUUUGGGUGAAACGCCAGUCUAAGUUCCUUGGAACAGGACGUCAUAGAGGGUGAGAAUCCCGUAUGUGACUGGAAAUGUUAACCUAUGUAAAGCUCCUUCGACGAGUCGAGUUGUUUGGGAAUGCAGCUCUAAAUGGGAGGUAAAUUUCUUCUAAAGCUAAAUAUUGGCGAGAGACCGAUAGCGCACAAGUAGAGUGAUCGAAAGAUGAAAAGCACUUUGGAAAGAGAGUUAAAAAGCACGUGAAAUUGUUGAAAGGGAAGCGCUUGCAAUCAGACUUGUUUAAACUGUUCGGCCGGUCUUCUGACCGGUUUACUCAGUUUGGACAGGCCAGCAUCAGUUUCGGCGGCCGGAUAAAGGCUCUGGGAAUGUGGCCUUCACUUCGGUGAAGGUGUUAUAGCCCAGGGUGUAAUACGGCCAGCCGGGACUGAGGUCCGCGCUUCGGCUAGGAUGCUGGCGUAAUGGUUGUAAGCGACCCGUCUUGAAACACGGACCAA
rnacentral:rRNA from 1 species